rnacentral:rRNA from 1 species
AUGGCGUCGAGGAGGCAAGCCGCCGCCGCCGCCAGCGAUGCUCUUGCUCAAGAACACAAGGGCGAUGCCAAGCCUGUCAGGAGACCGAAGGCCGCGGCUGGCCAACAACCAGCAGCGAGACCCCGUCCAGCCCUUAUCGAUCUCAGUAAUCGGAUGAGUAGCCGGGCUGCUCUGGCUGUUCCAAAUCGUCCCAAGGCAGUAGCUGUUGCAGCGGUUGACAAUUGUAGGAAAGCAAUAAAGAAGCAGAAGGAGAACAACAGAGUGAAGCCCGAAGUGAUCGUGAUAAGCUCAGACUCCGAGAAUGAAAAGAAAAAUCCAGGCAAGAGAGCCACCUCCUGGAGGGCGCCGCCGCUUACCGCAAUUCUAACCAAAUGCAGCAGGGAAUCUGAUGGGGUGAUCUCCAGCACGAAGAAGGUCUCGGCGACAUACAACAUCGAUAAAGCUGAUGCUCACAAUGAGCUCGCAGUGGUAGAUUACGUUGAAGACAUUUACAGGUUCUACAAGAGCACUGAGGGAAGCUCACGACCUCUCUGCACCUACAUGAGCUCACAGACUGAUAUCAAUGAGAGGAUGCGAGCUAUUCUGAUUGAUUGGCUCAUCGAAGUGCACCACAGGCUUAUGCUUAUGCCAGAGACUUUAUAUCUCACGGUCUACAUCAUUGAUCAGUACUUAUCCAUGGAGAAUGUGCUGAGAAAGGAGCUCCAGCUCGUUGGCGUAAGCGCCAUGCUUAUAUCAUGCAAGUAUGAAGAAAUAUGGGCUCCACUGGUUAAGGAGCUUUUGGUCCUAUCAGACAAUGCAUUUAGCAGGGAGCAGGUCCUAAGCACGGAGAAGUCCAUACUAAACAAGCUCCAGUGGAACUUAACAGUUCCGACGGUGUAUGUGUUCCUCCUUCGAUAUGCGAAAGCUGCGAUGGGCGACAAGGAGCUGGAGAACAUGGCAUUUUUUUAUGCUGAGCUCGCACUGGUGGACUACUCGAUGCUCGUGUACUCGCCAUCCGUGACUGCGGCAGCGGCUGUGUACACUGCUCGGUGCACCCUGAACAUGAGUCCGGGAUGGAGCGACAUCCUGGAGCACCACACCGGCUUAGGCGAGUCGCAGUUGAUGCAGUGCGCAAGGCGACUGGCAAGCCUGCACUCGACGGCAGCGGGGAGCAGCAAGCAGAAGGUGGUCUACAACAAGUACGCAAAUCCCAAGCUUGGGGCCGUGUCGCUCUACUCACCGGCCAAGAGACUAGCCAUCUGA